UACGUAGGGGGCUAGCGUUGCUCGGAAUCACUGGGCGUAAAGCGCACGUAGGCGGUCUUUUAAGUCAGGGGUGAAAUCCUGGAGCUCAACUCCAGAACUGCCUUUGAUACUGAGAGGCUUGAGUCCGGGAGAGGUGAGUGGAACUGCGAGUGUAGAGGUGAAAUUCGUAGAUAUUCGCAAGAACACCAGUGGCGAAGGCGGCUCACUGGCCCGGUACUGACGCUGAGGUGCGAAAGCGUGGGGAGCAAACAGG
rnacentral:rRNA from 1 species